rnacentral:rRNA from 1 species
UCUGGUGAUUAUGGCUUGAAGGUAACACCCGUUCCCAUGCCGAACACGAAGGUUAAGCUUCAAAG